rnacentral:rRNA from 1 species
UACGUAGGGUGCGAGCGUUGUCCGGAAUUAUUGGGCGUAAAGGGCUCGUAGGCGGUUUGUCGAGUCGGAUGUGAAAACUCAGGGCUUAACCCUGAGCCUGCUUCCGAUACGGGCAGACUAGAGGUAUGCAGGGGAGAACGGAAUUCCUGGUGUAGCGGUGAAAUGCGCAGAUAUCAGGAGGAACACCGGUGGCGAAGGCGGUUCUCUGGGCAUUACCUGACGCUGAGGAGCGAAAGUCUGGGGAGCGAACAGG